UGCCUUCAAGUAGCAUUUACCUGUUUUGCAAGUAAAAAUGCAACCAAAAUAUUCUAUCUGGUCUGAGGUGGAUGGAAAGUACAAACCUUUCUAGAGGCUGCUGAACUACGUAAAAAUAUGAGGAAAAGAAGAGAAAAAAAAGGUGAAGAAAAAGGAAAGCGAUAUUACACCAUAGCCAUAAACUCUUCUCGUUUGGGAUGCAAGUACGGAAAAUUGCAAGAAAGUGCAGCCACCAAGCAGUACAGGACCUUUGGAUUCCCUCAGACUUCUAUGUAGCAUCAUUCUGUGAAGCCCUGAGGGAGCUGGUGAACGGAAAAAAAAACAACAAACCAAACCAAAACCAGAGAAAAUCCUUAGAACUGGCUGGAUAUCAGAAGAAACUCUGUUUAGGCAAGUCUUUGAAAAACUCCACUUCUAAGUCAGUAACAAAUUAAGCUAAACUUUCUAUUACUGUGAUCACACAAGUAUCUAAAGGAAAAAAGCCAGAGCAGAUCAAAUGCAAUUUGCAACAAAUCCUGGGUACGGCUUGUUCUGCCAUCCACUGCGCUGAAUAAAAACCUUUCACUGAUGUUAAUGGUUUGGGAUUGAAGCCUGCAAAGUGAACAGCUCUAUCCUGAUGAUGGAGUUGUGCACUAUUUCACCGAGUUUGACAGACAUUUUGAGCCAAAACAGAAAAAAACACCAAACAACUGAUUUGCAAAAGGGAAGAACGGUAGCAAUCCAUGUGAAAAACUAGAAUUUUUGUGGGGGUUUUAGGUUGGUAUUUGUUUGUGGAAGAUCAGAAUCAAAAUAUAUAUUUUUCAAGUCUAAAAACUGUGUUAAAUAUGUUUUGCCAUGAGUAAUAUAUGACUUUCUGUGGGUGGAUUGGAAUCAAUUCUUAAAGGAAUUCAGUGGCAUAAACCCACCUAUUAGCCUUACAAAACUCUGGCAAAAAUUGAUAUUGGAUCAAAAAAAGCCCACUCCUAACAAAUGUUUAAGCUUCCGACCCAACUUAAGUAUUUGGUUCAAACUCAUAACUCUCUAAAAAGAAAAAAUUUAAAAGUGGAUAAUGCCCUGUUUACUUAUGAUUUCUGAAGAGGGUUAUGGACAUGUUUGUGAAAUGUUGUUUCCCACUAUUUACAACUUGAGUGUUUUCUGUUGUGUCCUGAGUUGUACACCCUGAGUACUUGCAAAACUGACAUACCAGUUAAGUUACUACUAAACAAAGAUUGCAUUUGAAGUGUUAUUCAUAGGAAAAUAUGUAAUGAAAUUUAAGAAUUGUUGUUUUGCUUUGUCAUGUUUAAAAAGAAUGUUACUAUUCCCUGAAUGGGGAAGGGGAUGAGUAAAUCUAACAUAUUUAAAAACAUAAAUUUAAUAGUACUUCCUUGGAAAUGUUGGGGUUUUUUUACGUGGAGUUUUGCAACUGUCUUCAAAGCCAUGCAUGGCAAAACUGUUUUCAACCUAAGGUGAAAUACGAAGAGAAGAAAGAAAACUGUGAUAUUUGAUCUUUUUUUUUUUUUUCCCCUCUAGGACAAGUAUGUUUGUGAGUCAGUCAUUGAUAUCUGAUUAGGGAAUCCUCAUUGAACUUAGGAAUCCAUAGAGGAAAAAAUAGACUUGAAAACAGAUGAUUGUGAUUGACAGUAAUAUAUGGGAGCUCUGGCAAGUUACUAAAAUCAUGGAAGGAAAUUGCAGGGAAUUUUUUCCCAGUUCUCCACUGACAGUCAAACGUGUUGAUCAGUGCAUGACUGCACAGCAAAGUGCUUGCUGGGCUGGUGCCUAAAGUGUACGGCCACCAGUGGUGUGGACUGCCAGGGCUUCAGCAGCUUCUGGUGAAGUAAAAGGACUCCCAGCAGCUGGUGAAUAAAGAAAUAUUCCUAUAAAUUCUCUUAAAUGUGUCUUUUCACUGCUAAGCACCUGUUUCAUGUAAGUCUCAUGAAAAAUUUCAGUCAUGACUUUAUCUGCAAGUCUCAUCAUUUUCAUUCACUUGAGGUUCACAGGAAGUAAUCAUUCAAGAAAGACAUCAAUAAUUUCAAUAAUAUUUAUGAAAAGUGGAGUCUAAAGCUUGUCGGAUGCCAUUUUAGAAUGCACACAGGUAGGAAUGAAAAGUGCAUACCACACAGGCUUCUUGAAGGUGGUACUUAGUCUGAUCCCAAAUACUUUAUCUGAUUGUAUAACUCAUAAAAUAAAUAAACCUAGCUUAGUGUGUCUCUUGCUGGUUGCUUAGCAUAGUCUCUCUUUUGCUCCAGGUGCAGAUUUUAGAGUUCUGUAAGAGAAAAAGUAUCCUUCUGGCAAUACAGCAACAGUAGCAAUAUCAAAACAUCUUGGGGAUUUUAUAGUCAAAUGUCUAAUUGUGCACAUACGUAAAAAAGGCAAAGUCAUGGAGUGAUUUGGUACAAGUACUAUAUACACGAAGUAAAUUAAUUUUAAAGAAAAUGGUAAGUACCUUGCAACGGAGCCUAUCCUUACAUACAGGAGGCGAUUCUCUUUUCUCCAGAUGAGUUCACGUGAUUCUUUGAUUGCACCAGAAGGGGUCAGGGCACUGUGUUCUUUCCUUAGCUUUCCAUCUUAAUUGUUAAUGACUUGAACUUAUUUUGUCAGUAUCUCUAAAUUCAGUCACUCCUCACAGAGAGACAGAAGCAGGAUAAUAUAACUUUUUAAAUAACUGUAUUUUUUCCAUGUUUAAAUGGUAAUCAAUAACUUCUAAAACAAAAUAUAUACUUCUGUUUUCUUUCUUCUGUAUUCAUCUCACUGUAGUAAAAGGAAGAGUUGUAGGUGCUGAAAUAAAACAUGUCUCUUGGUGGCUUGUGAAAGCAAAGCAGCCUAACACUCUAAUUGCAUAACUGAUUAUAAUGGACCAUAUAAUUUUUGUAAAAAAGAAGAUGCUUUGCUUCCUCUGCACUCAAUUCAGAAUAACCUACAGCCUCCUUUACAGAGGCUGUAUGGAUUAGCAACUAUUAAAAAUCAGAACCUAAAAAUUAACCUUAAAAACCAGUGUCAGAAGUUGUCAGUCAAAAUCCCUGGAUACAAUAAUUUUCCAAUAUUCAUGUCAGAUUCUGAUAUUUUCUUUAAAGAGUUAUUAAAGAAAACUUCAUUAACCAUUUCUCAUAGACUGAACAGGUGUGUAACUCUAAAGAGUAAUUUUUAUUCACUUUUCUGUGUAUGUGAAGAAUAUUGUGCUGAUCACUGUUUUCCAGCAGCUAUCAUUUGUAAAUAAUCACUGAAUAUUUCUGGAUAUUUUUGUCAUGUCUGCUUUUAAACAGAUGUAGCAUUUAGUUUUUAAGUGGCUGUUAAUUCAUACAAGUGACGUUUGUGAACAGAUGGAUUGAUCCUUGCUAAUAUUCAGUAAAACUGGUGACUUUCAUACACUUUUUAUGAACCACUUAUUGUUUGCCCAGAUGUUUUCCCUUGGAAAACAAUAAUGAUAAUAUUAUGUAUAAAGCAGAACCAAAACCAGAACGUUAUAAGCAUUUCAUACCAGCCUUUGAAAACAAAUUUAAAGUUUCUUAUGUAGAGCCACCAGGAUGGCCUUGUGUAGCGAGGGUCAGAGUUGGGCUUUGCUCUGCGGUGGUCUGUCCAAGACAGGUUGUCUUUUCAGGCCUAGGUCAGUGAGCUGGGUGGUUUUGCUUUGUUAGUGGAACUUGCCUUGGUUAUCCUGGGGCAAAGGGAAGAAAUCCACCUAAGCAUGUUCUUCUGUCAAUAUGAGCAACGUAGUAGUAUGAAUGAUGCUGUAGGUGAUUUCUGUCACUGUUGGAGAAUGAAAAAAGAAAAGGGAGUGAGUAGCAGAGGCCAUCUUGGUCCUUGUACUGUAAAUUUAAAACAUUGAUAGUAUAAAAAUGUAAAAAUAUAAAACCUGCAUAAUGAUUUGGGUACAUAUGUGUUUAUACUCACAUAUGCCUCUGCACAUGACUUCUUGAUGCUUUGCAUUUAAUGAAAUAACCAAAUUGCAUAAUAUAAGCAGUGAAGUAAAUGUUAAAUAUAGCCUGUAAAAAUCAUCUUGUUCAUAAAUUUGCCUAAUAUUGUAGAAAUCUGUAAUAGUCUAAUGUAUGCACCACUAUGCUAUAAUGUGUUCUCAGUGAUAUGUCUUCAGUACAUAGAACAAUGAGUAUUUUCAUCACCGAUGAUAAUUCUUUUUCAUUGAUUAGUGGAGAUUUGAUGAUAACAUAAGUAUUAAAGUAACAUCUCGAUGGAUUGUAUUAUAUACUUCUAUAUUUCACAAAUAUACAAUAUUGACAAAAUAAAGGA